AUGAUGGGUUACAACAAACUGGUUGCCCCAAUGCCCAGUGCGGUUUCCAGCCGGCAGACUCUCGGAGGUGUAAUUGAGACAGUUUCCCAGCCCAAGGGACUCAAACAGACCAUCACUAUUAUAAUUUUUAAGGACGGUGUAAUGGGAGAUUGGCUGGUGUAUUAUGGGCUCAAUCAGGAUGACCCUGCAUUGAUUGGGUGUUUCCCUAAGUCGUUAUUUACCGGAGGGAUGGCGAACAGAGCGCCGUCUAUCCGUUUUGGUGGAUAUGUGCAGACCCACACGGCGAAUUUAGUUCCGAUGGGCAGUGGGUACCUUCCCACGGGUGAUGCGAUGGCGUCCGCGUUCAUAAGCAAUAUCCAAAUCUUUGAUCAGAAUGGCCAGGCCACGCCGUUGAUGCAAGACUCACCUGCCGUCGUUACUGACUCGAAUAUCUACCGAGUCACUCCAAUUGUCAAUGGGCGAUUUUCGUACGGGGGGCCGUUUCAGUCC
rnacentral:rRNA from 1 species